CCCGGGACGAGGUCGACACCUAAAUGAAUUAGGCAGAAAUGGGUCACAACACACUGACUGACAGACAAGGGAACGCGACCUGAGGAGACGGGAGAGGAAGGGGCACCCCACCCGGCGGAGGCUGCAGACUUGAAACGUUCUCACGACAGACCCCACAGCCUCAGCCCAGAAGUCACCGGGCGCUUCUGUGCAGGGGCGACUCGAGAACCUACCGGAGGAGUGCUCGGCAGUGACCCCUGGACACAGCACCUGGAACGAGCUGAGGGACGUCCCUGGUGGUCCAGUGGGUAAGAGUCCGCCUUCCGAUGCAGGGGACGCGGGUUCGAUUCCUACUGAGCCCACACACUCUGGAGCCCAUGCG